rnacentral:rRNA from 1 species
UGGGGAAUAUUGCGCAAUGGGGGGAACCCUGACGCAGCCAUGCCGCGUGAAUGAAGAAGGCCUUAGGGUUGUAAAGUUCUUUCGGUAUUGAGGAAGGUUGAUGUGUUAAUAGCACAUCAAAUUGACGUUAAAUACAGAAGAAGCACCGGCUAACUCCGUGCCAGCAGCCGCGGUAAUACGGAGGGUGCGAGCGUUAAUCGGAAUAACUGGGCGUAAAGGGCACGCAGGCGGUUAUUUAAGUGAGGUGUGAAAGCCCCGGGCUUAACCUGGGAAUUGCAUUUCAGACUGGGUAAUUAGAGUACUUUAGGGAGGGGUAGAAUUCCACGUGUAGCGGUGAAGUGCGUAGAGAUGUGGAGGAAUACCGAAGGCGAAGGCAGCCCCUUGGGAAUGUACUGACGCUCAUGUGCGAAAGCGUGGGGAGCAAACAGGAUUAGAUACCCUGGUAGUCCACGCUGUAAACGCUGUCGAUUUGGGGGUUGGGGUUUAACUCUGGCGCCCGUAGCUAACGUGAUAAAUCGACCGCCUGGGGAGUACGGCCGCAAGGUUA